GAUGAACGCUGGCGGCGUGCCUAAUACAUGCAAGUCGAGCGAACAGACGAGGAGCUUGCUCCUCUGACGUUAGCGGCGGACGGGUGAGUAACACGUGGAUAACCUACCUAUAAGACUGGGAUAACUUCGGGAAACCGGAGCUAAUCCCGGAUAAUAUAUUGAACCGCAUGGUUCAAUAGUGAAAGACGGCUUUGCUGUCACUUAUAGAUGGAUCCGCGCCGCAUUAGCUAGUUGGUAAGGUAACGGCUUACCAAGGCAACGAUGCGUAGCCGACGUGAGAGAGUGAUCGGCCACACUGGAACUGAGACACGGUCCAGACUCCUACGGGAGGCAGCAGUAGGGAAUCUUCCGCAAUGGGCGAGAGCCUGACGGAGCAACGCCGCGUGAGUGAUGAAGGUCUUCGGAUCGUAAAACUCUGUUAUUAGGGAAGAACAAAUGUGUAAGUAACUGUGCACGUCUUGACGGUACCUAAUCAGAAAGCCACGGCUAACUACGUG
rnacentral:rRNA from 1 species